GGGGAAUAUUGGACAAUGGGCGCAAGCCUGAUCCAGCCAUGCCGCGUGGGUGAAGAAGGCCUUCGGGUUGUAAAGCCCUUUUGUUGGGAAAGAAAAGCAGCCGGCCAAUACCCGGUUGUUCUGACGGUACCCAAAGAAUAAGCACCGGCUAACUCUGUGCCAGCAGCCGCGGUAAUACAGAGGGUGCGAGCGUUAAUCGGAUUUACUGGGCGUAAAGCGUGCGUAGGCGGCUUUUUAAGUCGGAUGUGAAAUCCCCGAGCUUAACUUGGGAAUUGCAUUCGAUACUGGGAAGCUAGAGUAUGGGAGAGGAUGGUAGAAUUCCAGGUGUAGCGGUGAAAUGCGUAGAGAUCUGGAGGAAUACCGAUGGCGAAGGCAGCCAUCUGGCCUAAUACUGACGCUGAGGUACGAAAGCAUGGGGAGCAAACA
rnacentral:rRNA from 1 species